CUGCCACAACGAACGCUGGCGGCGUGCUGAACACAUGCAAGUCGAACGAGAAAGGGGUCUUCGGACCCUGAGUAGAGUGGCGCACGGGUGAGUAACGCGUAGGUAAUCUACCCUUAUGACUGGGAUAACAUCGGGAAACUGGUGCUAAUACCGGAUACACUUCUUUGAUGCGGCCUAAAGGAGGAAAGGUGGCCUCUUCAUGAAAGCUACCGUAUAGGGAUGAGCCUGCGUACCAUUAGCUAGUAGGCGGGGUAACGGCCCACCUAGGCAACGAUGGAUUAGCGGGUCUGAGAGGAUGAUCCGCCACACUGGAACUGGAACACGGACCAGACUCCUACGGGAGGCAGCAGUGAGGAAUAUUGCGCAAUGGGGGAAACCCUGACGCAGCGACGCCGCGUGAGUGAGGAAGGCCUUCGGGUCGUAAAGCACCCA
rnacentral:rRNA from 1 species